UAUAUGAAAAUAGUAUGUUUGUAUGGAUCG
rnacentral:piRNA from 1 species